UUCCGGAAGGGGUAAAUUAGAAUUUACCAAUGAAUGUAAAUCGGUAAGUUUCAAUUAUUUCCGAAAAUCACUCCUCCACCUUCUCUUCGAAAAAUAUUGUGGAAACUAGGGUUUUGGGAUACCGAAUAGCAACAUCCAUUUCGCUGUCACACGAAAUCACCAGAUUAUCGAAGAAGGUUGAAGAACAUUAUCGAAGAAGGUAGAAAAACAUCGGGGUUUUUGCAGAAUCAUCGGUGUUUCGUUCGAAAGGAGAUAGGUGCAGAUGCCGUAGCUAGUGCUCCGGAAACGAACUGAAGGACGACGUUCUGAGCAAAGCUUCAAAGACUUAUGAAGAAAUGUCCAUGGAUCCAAAUUUAAAGUAAAUUUAAUUUUGCUUGGGUGACUUCCGUGAUGAUGUAUCGUACUUCUUAAGGAUUUAUUCGUUCUAAUUUUUUGGGUGAUAUUGUUUGGACGGAUGCAGCAAUUUAGGUAUUUUAUGGAUUACCAUUGCAGAUAAUUGUGAGGAAUUAAGUUUUGAUGUUAUAAAUUUUGU